UUUCAGAGCUCUCUCUCUCAUUCAGAGACACACACACACACGUAGGGAGCCUUUCUGCUUUGGUGCACAGCUAACAACAGCAGGAUCACAGUGUGAAAGCGUCGCUGAGAUCUGAGGCAGGAAGCGAGAACAGAUGGAGGGAAGCGCACACACGACAAACACACACAACAGCAGACAGUGACGGACAGCGCGGACACGCUGUUUACACUGUAAUAGUGCUCGAUGUCACCCCGAAAUUAAUCCCGGGCGCACACACCAGCACAAGCACGCUGACCCCCUUUCGACAAGCCUCUAGCAUCUCCCUUCUUGUGUGUGUGAGUGUGUGCGUUCACAACGUGAAUACAGCUGCCGUUUGUCGAGAUACGUCCCGCGGCAUCUCCACGUGUGAGCUCGUAGUGCGACAAUAUGCGUCAUGCUAAACAGACCUUAAAGCUGAGCUUACAUGGCAGCCUGGAUGUGUGUGCGUCUAUCGAUCACAGUCGGAGAGAAAGACAAAGGAUAAGGCCCAACAUAAUCAGAAUAAAUGUCCCCCACUGCAGCGGGAAUAAAGGUGUGUGAAAGGGAGAAGGAGGCACGGGCGGAGGAGAAGGUGCGGGCGUGUGCUCUGAAAGGGUGGUGUGAGUGAGAGAUUCUGAUCCCCCCAAAUUGCUGAU
ensembl:lncRNA